UGGGGAAUAUUGCACAAUGGGCGCAAGCCUGAUGCAGCAACGCCGCGUGAGGGACGACGGCCUUCGGGUUGUAAACCUCUUUUAGUAGGGAAGAAGCGAAAGUGACGGUACCUGCAGAAAAAGCACCGGCUAACUACGUGCCAGCAGCCGCGGUAAUACGUAGGGUGCAAGCGUUGUCCGGAAUUAUUGGGCGUAAAGAGCUCGUAGGCGGUUUGUCGCGUCUGCUGUGAAAAACCCGAGGCUCAACCUCGGGCCUGCAGUGGGUACGGGCAGACUAGAGUGCGGUAGGGGAGAAUGGAAUUCCUGGUGUAGCGGUGGAAUGCGCAGAUAUCAGGAGGAACACCGAUGGCGAAGGCAGUUCUCUGGGCCGUAACUGACGCUGAGGAGCGAAAGCGUGGGGAGCGAACAGGAUUAGAUACCCUGGUAGUCCACGCCGUAAACGUUGGGCGCUAGAUGUGGGGACCAUUCCACGGUUUCCGUGUCGCAGCUAACGCAUUAAGCGCCCCGCCUGGGGGAGUACGGCCGCAAGGCU
rnacentral:rRNA from 1 species